ACUGCGCCUGUGCCUGUGUACGCCUCUAAUGCUGUUGUUGUUGAUCGUGCUUCAUUGACGGUGGUAGAAGAUCGGCUUUUUCCACAAUUUCUCUGGUUUAAGCCGAUAUUCCUGAAGGAUGGCUGAAUAUUUGGCCUCUAUUUUCGGUACCGAAAAGGACAAAGUAAACUGUUCUUUUUACUUCAAAAUUGGAGCUUGCCGGCAUGGAGAUCGAUGCUCUCGUAUUCAUAAUAAACCAACAUUCAGUCAGACCGUGCUGCUGCAAAAUUUGUACGUCAAUCCUCAAAAUUCAGCCAAAUCUGCAGAUGGGUCUCACUUGAUUGCAAAUGUGUCUGAUGAAGAAAUGCAGGAGCAUUACGACAAUUUCUUCGAAGACGUCUUUGUGGAAUGCGAAGAUAAGUAUGGGGAGAUUGAAGAGAUGAACGUCUGUGACAAUCUUGGUGACCACCUUGUCGGAAACGUGUACAUCAAGUUCCGCAGAGAAGAAGAUGCCGAAAGAGCGGUAUCUGAUCUAAACAAUCGCUGGUUCGGUGGUCGACCAGUCUAUGCCGAACUCAGCCCAGUAACGGAUUUUCGCGAAGCAUGUUGCCGUCAGUAUGAGAUGGGGGAGUGUACUCGCAGCGGCUUCUGCAACUUCAUGCAUUUAAAGCCUAUCUCCCGUGACUUGAGGCGCUACUUGUACAGUCGCAAGCGUAAGGGCGGUCGCAGGUAAUUAUCCAAUAUAUUAUUGUGUUCAAAUUGUAUCUAAAUUUUAUCUCAUUUUCAUUGGACUGAAAUCAAUAACCAACACCUGAGUGACCUUAUAUAUUUAAUUAUCUCGCUCUCCUCACCGCAGAUCUCGCUCCAGAGAAAAACGCUCCCGCUCAAAGGAACGUCGUCGCAGGAGUCGCUCCCGUGACAGAGAGGGAAGGUCUGGACGCUAUUAAGAAACCGGUAUGUGCAUCGCGCGCUCGAACAUUUUCCAUUUUUAAUCCAUGUAUUAGAAUAAUUGAGUGUAAUUUGAUUAACAUAAACGAUAUCUUGUGAAGUGGAGUAA